rnacentral:lncRNA from 1 species
UUUCGAUGUUGGGACUUUUGAAUCGACGAUCAGCUCAGUUAGACUUGAUCUAGAGUAUUUUAAGUAUCUAGAAAAUAAAUUUUGUAAUUUUUUGAUAUCAUUUGCCUAAGAUCGAAGUGGCUCAAAAUCAACGGCUGAAAAUAAAAAUUUUACAAAAUAUGAUGAUAUGACAUUAAAAUUUUAGAUCAAAAAUAUUGAUCUUGUUUUAUAUAGUAUAAAAAAUUUUCUAUCAAAAUUUUACGUGAUUUGGAUAUUUCUACACCGCUAAACUUGCAAACGGCUUACUAUGGCCAUUAAAAUUAUUGAUUUUGAGCCCUUUCGAUCACUAGGCAAAUGAUAUCAAAAAAUCAUAAAAUUUAUUCUCUAAGUACUUGAAAUACUCUAAAUCAAGUUUGACGGAGCCAAUCGUCAAUUCGAAAGUCCUAACAUUGAAAACGACUUGGAAGCACGGAAGGCUUCGUGCUUCCAGAAGCAUACCAGCUCACUCUAUAUAGAGCUAGGCUCCUAUACUAUAGUCUCGUAC